CAAAUGUGGACAUUUAUGAUUUCAACGUUCCAAAAGAUGUACCUGUUUCACAGCUCAAUGGAAAAAAACGUAAACGUUUUCAUGAUAUUCUUGAAAAGUUAUAUUCAGACAAAAAAUCAGAUUGUGUUAAAAAGAAGUUAUCUUAACAAAAGAUAGUAAAUAAAAAGCAAGGAAAUUUAUCACUGGAAAUUGAAAAUUCAUCAUUGGAAGUAGAUGAAAUAGAAAACAAGAAGACUUUUAUUAAAAGAAUUCUACAU